UUAGAAAAUUUCAUCAUCUGUAUAACAUGCCAGUGACAGCACAGCAUUAGUGUCAAUACAUUUCAUUAUUUGGCAAGAUAACCACUCAUAGCAAUAGAUUAAAAUUCUGAUUGUCAUUUUUCAUAUAUUUCAGUUUCACCGCAGCACACUGGAUGGUUGUUCUUGCCUUACUUUCCCUCUUGGCAAGAUACUCAUUUGUCAGAUUUUAUUAAAAAUUUGUUUUAUCUGUUAAAGCUUAGAGAAUGAGCUAAGUGAUACUGUUUUAAUCCCAAAUCAAUAUGUGUAGUCAGGUCUUGAAAUAAUUCCAAUCACUGUAGCCCUUGUUCAUAUUUUAGAUGGAUAAUAAUGCUAUUGUGUUGUUUUCCUUGGAACUCAUUUUAUGUAUUCCAUUUGUAGGAAUUAUAGUGACAAUUGAUCACAUAGCCGAAACAAGGAAAUGGAUGUGAUAUUCAUUUUCUGAGUUUUACAAGAAUCUUCACUGGCAAAGUGAAACCUUAUCUAUAUAUUUGCUUAAGUUUGGAGAAAUAGAGUAGAGGUGUACUUCUCAAAUUCUAGUGUGAUUCAGAACCUCCUGGAGAGGUGAUUAAAAUAGACUUGUAGGUCUCAUAGCCAGAGAUUCUGAUUCAGUAGGCCUCGGUAGAAUUUGGGACUUUGGGACAAAUUCUCAGUUGAUGCUGAUGUUGCCAAUUCAAGAACCAUCCUUUGAAAAACAAUAAAAUAAAAUGGAGUGGUCAAUAGCAACGGCUUUGCCAUUAAACAAUCUUGGGUUUAAAUCCUGGUUUCUUGUUUAAAGAUUUAUUAAUUUGAGGUAAUUUAUUUAAACGAUUUUUAAGCCUUUGUUUCUCAUUUGCUCAAUAGGGGUUUUGUAUGUAUUAGAUAAAAUAAUGUCUGUCCAGCACUAUAUCAAGUGCUGGACAGAUACCUGAUAAUAAAUAAUAGCCACAGUUAUUAAAAAUGAGAUAAUCACUUUUACUGGGAUCUGUCUGGUUGACCAUGCAGUGCUCCUGUUUCAUACCUGGGUGUAUUUGACAAGUUAUUUGUCAGUUAUAUCUAGAUAGGAGUUAUCUGAUUAGUGGGUUAGCAACUAUUAAAGACUUGAAUUGCUCAGGUGGGCCCCAAAAUACUUAAAUAUUUUUAUCUUUGGGCCUUCCUUCAACAGGAACCCCAACUAAAUAGCAUACUAAAAUUUUGUUUGGUUCUGUCCUUUAAAUUAUUUUCCAUGUAAAUUUAUAUUUCCACAGUCUUAUGUCUUCUUAUGAAUGAUUUUUUUUAAAUGAACAUCGGUUUAUUUUCAAAAUCAAACUCGAGUCUUUGGAGACUAAUAUCCUUUCUCUCCAUAUUUUGUUAUUAAGAGGCUUGGUGUUCUGCCAAGGCAACAUAUUAAUAAAUUUAAGCUUGAGAUUUUCAUUGUCAUGUGAAUGUUGAAAUUGGCCCUCAAUUACACAAAGCAGCCAAUUCAACAGGAUACGUGAAUUGGAUUUAUAACGAACACGUUUGUGAAGAAUUACUUUUAAAUCCCUGAUUUUGUGGUUUACUUCUAAUUCAUUCAAAAAGCAUGAUCCAGCAGUCAAAAAAAUCUCAGCCAAUUCAGACCAAGUUUAUUUUGAGAAAUACUUGAUUUUACUUUAGUCAAGUGUUAAUAAAUAAAUUUGUUUUACGUUCAAUCACUUAUCCAGUUGUUCAUUUAAUACUAAAUCCCAUCUUGCUGGUAGACACUGGACUAGACACUAAGGAAAACACCUCAUCCUCCCAGAGCCUAUAGUCUUGUGAAAAAGGUAAAAGUGCAGUUAUUAGAAUCUCAUUUUAACAGGCUGAUAAAUCUUCAGUCCUUAUCAGUUGUCAAGUGUUGGAAAAAUGUUUGUAUUCAUACCCAAUUACCCAUGAAUCUAUCAACCAUCACCCAAAACUUCACAUACUUCACGAUGUGGUAUCCUCCAGGGUAUCUAGCCAAAGGAGAACUUUACAUUUCCUAUGGUUGUGUUUGUAAAAUGAACAUAGAGAUGGCAAAUCAAGUCAGUUCUGUUGCUUGCAAUUAGCAGUCACUUAAACUCUCUAGCAAAACGAUGUGAUUGAAGAAAACAGCAUAUCUGUACAUCAAACUUGACUUUGGGGGAUUUUCAUACAAUGCAGGAAUUUACAUUCACAUGAUAUGUUAUGAAAUGAAUGUUUGUGUUCUCUAAAAAUGUAUAUAUUGAAGCCUUAACCCGUAAUGUGAUGGUAUUUGGCAAUGGGGCCUUUGGUAGGGAAUUAGGGCUAGACAAAAUCAUGAGGGUUGGGGCCCUUAUGAUGGGAUUAGUGCCCUUUAAAGAAGAAACACCAGAGAGCUUGCUCUGUCUUGCUCCACCAUGUGAGGACAUGGUGAGAAGGCUGCCAUCUGCAAAUCAGGAAGAGAGACCUCACCAGAAGCUGAAUUGGUUGGCAUCUUGAUCUUGGACUUCCCAGCCUCCAGAAUGGUGAGAAAUAAAUGUCUGAAGUUUAAGCCACCCAGUCAAUGGAUUUUGUUAUGGCAGUCCUAGCCAACUAAGACAUGAUCUCAGAAAGACCACAGGGAUUUGUACAAAUUAUGGAAACACUCUAAACUUAUAUUAUACCCAGAUGGGUCCCCUUAGCUCUAAUCUGCCAGGGCGGCUCUUUACUAUUCCCUGAAUGCAAUUUGCUCUUUUUUGCCUCUGCUAUAUACUCCUCCCAUGCUAUUUUAUUUGCCCAAAAUGCCCUCCCCAAAUCUUCCACUUCUGGCUGAGAGGCUCAUCUUUUUUUUUUUUUUUUGCCAAUCAGUUUGAGCUUAUGAGGUUGCUCAGGUUAGCCUUGAACUGAUGACCUCGCCUUCGCAAGCACCAUGACCCCGGCGGGAGCCACUUUGGACCCCGAGAGAUUAUCAAUGUGAAAUUUUAACAAGAUUACCAAAAUUCCAACAAGAAAAGUGUGCAUUUUAAAUAAAGGUCUUUGGAUAAGAACUCUUUCAACCAACUGCCAAUCAGAAAAUCUUAGAAUCCACCUGUGACUUAGAAGCCCCUGCUUCCAGUUGUCCUUCCUUUCCAGACUGAAAAAAUGCACAUCUUACAUGUAUUGAUUGAUGUGUUUUGUCUCCCUAAAAUGUAUAAAACUAAGUUGUGGCCCAAUCACGAUGGGCACAUGGUCUCAGAACCUCCUGAAGUCUGUGUCACAGGCCAGUGGUCACUUA